GUUGAAACACUGGUUCCCGUACGAUCACCAAAGUUAAGCAACGCUGAGCCUGGUCAGUACUUGGUUGGGG